CCACUCGACGACGACGAGCUCAUCUCCUACAUCACGGCCGGCCUCGACAUGGAGUAUCAACCCCUCGUCUCCGCCCUCGACGCCCGCACUCAGCCUGUCACCCUUGAUGAACUGUAUGCUCAGAUGAGUAACUUCGAUC
rfam:Triticum aestivum genome assembly, contig: Triticum_aestivum_CS42_TGACv1_scaffold_487651_6AS